rnacentral:rRNA from 1 species
AUGGACAAGAAUUUCAGUGCACGGCAAGGGGAAAUAUAUUCUACAGCACAAAGAUAUAUUUCUAUUACGAUAUACAAUAUGUUCAAAAUUUGUUGCUCCAAUGGUUGCGUAUCUACUGGUUGUCUUGCUAUCAGAAUCCUAUUCAAAACAGAGAAACUUUGCUUGAGAAUGUUAGUGCAUGUCAGGGACAAAAAUAUUCUGUUCCAAACAAGCUUGUAUCUUUUCAUAAUCACAUACAAAUUUUGUUCAAACUAUAGUGCUAGCUUGUUUAUUUGGUUAUUACUUCUUUGCUAUCAGGCUAUUGUCGAGACCACCAAAACAACAAAUGGUGCUAAUGCAUGCAAUAAGAGUGCUCGAAGUGGUUCGCUAAGUUGGAUGGAUGCCAAUGAACAACUUGCAAGAACUAAAGUAUUCUCGAAGAGCCUAAAAAAUCAUAACAUGGGCGUAGCUCUAGCUACAAUGGUAAGUUCUGAUCCUAAAUUUAGACUUGAUGGUCCUGAAAUUAGAAAUUAA